CUUGCACUGGUGGGGUCCCUCAGCCUGGCCUGCACCCUCUCACAAUCUAGGACUCCUCAGGGGAUGUCAGAGAGCUGGUUUUGGCCUGAUCCCCACAGGCCAGGCUGAGGGACCCCACCGGUGCACG
rnacentral:pre_miRNA from 1 species